UACGGGGGGGGUAAGCGUUGUUCGGAAUUAUUGGGCGUAAAGGGCUCGUAGGCGGUUUGUCGCGUCGGGAGUGAAAACCCAGGGCUUAACCCUGGGCUGGCUUCCGAUACGGGCAGACUAGAGGUAUGCAGGGGAGAACGGAAUUCCUGGUGUAGCGGUGAAAUGCGCAGAUAUCAGGAGGAACACCGGUGGCGAAGGCGGUUCUCUGGGCAUUACCUGACGCUGAGGAGCGAAAGUGUGGGGAGCGAACAGG
rnacentral:rRNA from 1 species